rnacentral:sRNA from 1 species
AAAAUUAUAUGUGAUUUUAAUAAAAACCAUGUAUUACUAAAAAAUAAGAAUAUAUUUUUAAAGAAAUCACGUGUGAUCUUAAUAAAAAACGUGUAUUACUACAAAAUAUCAUGAUAAAAUGAGAUAUUAAACUGAAUAGAAUGUUUUUUCCAAAAAAUACUAUGUGCUUUUUACAAAUACUAUGUAAUAAGAGAAAAUAACAAGAUAAAAAGAGGAUAUUAUGUUAUCGCAUGUAUUUCGGAAAAAUAACAUGUUACAAAGGACAUUUACGUAAUUACACGUGUUCUCCAACAUGUUUCCGACAAGAUACUGUGACUCAAGGUUAAUUUGUACAUUCUUUUCAAAUCUAUAGUCAUUUAUUAUAAAUACUCUAAAAUAAAUGUCAACAAACUAUUCGAAUAUCUAGAUGCAAAUGAAGCAUACUCAAAAAUUCAGAGUUUUUAAAGGAAAUUGUGAUUUCUGUCUAUAAUGUUGGUAAAGAACUUGAAAACGAUAAUGUGAAACUUUUUGAAAUAGUGACACGUAAGGAAGCAAUUACCGCGUCUAGAACUCUUUACAACUUUUGGAUGCAUAUCGAAAAGACAACACCAAGAGUUUUUGAUGCAAUAAAGAAAAUUAGAGAUGAACUUCAAAAAGAUUCAAAUUUUAAGAAAAGACAAAUAUAACUAAAGUCAUAUUAUACUAGAUUAUCUUUAAAAGUAUGCUUAAUAUUAGUAAUUAUUAAUUUAUGAUAUUAUUGGGACCAUAUUUUGACAUAGAGAUUUCAAAAAAAUUAUUAUCAUAUUAUCUUAUCGAUUUUGGUUAAUUUUCACAUUGGCCCGACUUGAGACCGAUAUAUUUUAUUAAUUUAUUGUGUUUAUUAAUUUAUCGAGUAUUAAUUUAUAGAGUUUCUACUGUAAUUCAUAAUCACCUUAGCUGGUAUAUUCUUUAAGCAACAUUAAUCAUUUUAAUCACGUGAUGACCAGAAAUGAAGAAAU